GGGGCUGUGGCUCAGUGGUAGAGCAUCUGCUUUUGGUGGAGAAGGUACCAGGUUCAAUCCCGGGCAUCCCCA
rnacentral:tRNA from 1 species